rnacentral:rRNA from 1 species
CCUACGGGUGGCAGCAGUGAGGAAUAUUGGUCAAUGGGCGCGAGCCUGAACCAGCCAAGUAGCGUGAAGGAUGACUGCCCUACGGGUUGUAAACUUCUUUUAUAAAGGAAUAAAGUGAGGCACGUGAGCCUUUUUGUAUGUACUUUAUGAAUAAGGAUCGGCUAACUCCGUGCCAGCAGCCGCGGUAAUACGGAGGAUCCGAGCGUUAUCCGGAUUUAGUGGGUUUAAAGGGAGCGUAGAUGGGUUGUUAAGUCAGUUGUGAAAGUUUGCGGCUCAACCGUAAAAUUGCAAUUGAUACUGGCAGUCUUGAGUACAGUUGAGGUUGGCGGAAUUCGUGGUGUCGCGGUGACAUGCUUCGAUAUCACGAAGAACUCCGAUUGCGAAGGCAUCUUACUAAACUGCCACUGACAUUGCUGCUCGACAGUGUGGGUAUCAAACAGGAUUAGAUACCCGAGUAGUC